rnacentral:rRNA from 1 species
UACGAGGGGGGCGAGCGUUGUUCGGAAUUAUUGGGCGUAAAGGGUGCGUAGGCGGUUCCGCAAGUCCUGUGUGAAAUCUUCGGGCUCAACUCGAAGUCUGCACGGGAAACUGCGGGGCUUGAGUGUGGGAGAGGUGAGUGGAAUUCCCAGUGUAGAGGUGAAAUUCGUAGAUAUUGGGAAGAACACCGGUGGCGAAGGCGGCUCACUGGCUCGUAACUGACGCUGAGGCGCGAAAGCGUGGGGAGCAAACAGG